rnacentral:rRNA from 1 species
GGUUAAGCGAAUAAGCGUACACGGUGGAUGCCUAGGCAAUCAGAGGCGAUGAGGGACGUGCUAAUCUGCGAAAAGCGUCGGUAAGGUGAUAUGAACCGUUAUACCCGACGAUAUCCGAAUGGGGAAACCCAGUAUCCAAUGGAUACUAUCAUUAACUGAAUCCAUAGGUUAAUGAGGCGAACCUGGAGAACUGAAACAUCUCAGUACCCCGAGGAAAAGAAAUCAACCGAGAUUCCCCUAGUAGCGGCUAGCGAACGGGGAGCAGCCCAGAGUCUUAAUCAAUAGCAGUGUCAGGAGAAC